GCUCCAUCUUCAAUGAAUUAAGAAACGAUCAGAUUCAAUGAAAGAAGAUGAAUAAUGAAGUAAGUGGGCCCUAUAGUCAAUAUUUAAGGUAAACUUGACAUAUGGACAAAAUUAUAGAAAUUUAUUAUAGUUUAUAAAUUAUAGAUUAUAGAUAAUUUCAUGUGUUGUUUACUGUUGUAAUUAAAGUGUAAUACCUUGUUAGUAGGGAUGGCAAAGGAUCAGGUUCGGAGCGAAUUUUAAAAAAUCCGAAUUCGAACCCGACUACCAAAUUCGAAACCCGAAGUGGGGUGGGUUUCCAAAAACUCGAAUUCGAACCCGAUUAUCAAAUCUGAAAUCUAAACCCAAACCCUAAUCUGACAGAUUUUAUAAAUCCAUAUCCAAACCUGAACACGAACCCAAACGCGAACCCGAAUCUCUCUCUCUCUCAUCCGCACUCCGACCGCGCUCGGUCCACUCGCGAUCCCGGCCCCCCGCUCUCUCGCGAGGAGGACGACGACGAGGGCAAAGAGGAGGUUGUGCCGUGGUUGCGAAAUCUAGGGUUUUCCCUCUCUCAGCCGCUCCCUCUCUCCCUUUCAGUCUACCCAGCUUUAAUCCUAGUCAUCUUGCAGACUGCACACUUUCCUCUUCUUCUCCCUCGCAACCUUCCCUCGACGAUGGCCGCCGAGCCCAAAACUAAGUACGAUCGCCAACUCAGG
rnacentral:lncRNA from 1 species